rnacentral:rRNA from 1 species
AGUGAACGCUGGCGGUAGGCCUAACACAUGCAAGUCGAACGGCAGCACAGUAAGAGCUUGCUCUUACGGGUGGCGAGUGGCGGACGGGUGAGGAAUACAUCGGAAUCUACUUUUUCGUGGGGGAUAACGUAGGGAAACUUACGCUAAUACCGCAUACGACCUACGGGUGAAAGCAGGGGAUCUUCGGACCUUGCGCGAUUGAAUGAGCCGAUGUCGGAUUAGCUAGUUGGCGGGGUAAAGGCCCACCAAGGCGACGAUCCGUAGCUGGUCUGAGAGGAUGAUCAGCCACACUGGAACUGAGACACGGUCCAGACUCCUACGGGAGGCAGCAGUGGGGAAUAUUGGACAAUGGGCGCGAGCCUGAUACAGCCAUACCGCGUGGGUGAAGAAGGCCUUCGGGUUGUAAAGCCCUUUUGUUGGGAAAGAAAAGCAGCAGGUUAAUACCCCGCUGUUCUGACGGUACCCAAAGAAUAAGCACCGGCUAACUUCGUG